rnacentral:rRNA from 1 species
UACGUAGGGUGCAAGCGUUGUUCGGAAUCACUGGGCGUAAAGGGCGUGUAGGCGGAUCGAUUAGCGAGAGGUGAAAUCCCGGGGCUCAACCCGGGAACUGCUCUUCAAACUGUCGAUCUAGAGAGGGUCAGGGGCCGGCGGAAUUCCUGGUGUAGAGGUGAAAUUCGUAGAGAUCAGGAGGAACAUCGGAGGCGAAGGCGGCCGGCUGGAGCCAUUCUGACGCUGAGGCGCGAAAGCGUGGGGAGCAAACAGGAUUAGAUACCCUGGUAGUCCACGCCGUAAACGAUGGCUACUAGGUGUCCGGGACGUUCGACCAUUCUGGGUACCGCAUCUAACGCAGUAAGUACCCCGCCUGGGAAGCACGGUCACAAGUCUAAAUCUCAAAGGAAUUGACGGGGCCCCGCACACGCGGUGGCACAUGUGGUAUAAUUCGACGCAACGCGCAACCCCUUCCCUCGAUGACACAUUCCGGGCUCACCUCAGAGAUGAGGUUUUCUCUUCGGAGCCCCGGUCACAGGUGCCGCAUGGCUGUCCUCAGCUCGUCUCGAGAGAUGUGGGGAUAAGUCCCGCAGCGAGCGCACCCCUUCUCCCUAGUCCCCCGCAUAGAGUUGGGCACUCUAGGGAGACUGCCGGUGACAAGCCGGAGGAAGGUGGGGAUGACGUCAAGUCCUCAUGGCCCUUACGUCCAGGGCUACACACGUGCUACAAUGGCAGGGACAAAGAGUGGCCAAGCCGCGAAGGGGCGCUAAUCUCAAAAAACCCCUCUCAGUUCGGAUCGCAGUCUGCAACUCGACUGCGUGAAGUCGGAAUCGCUAGUAAUCGCGAAUCAGCACGCCGCGGUGAAUACGUUCCCGGGCCU